rnacentral:rRNA from 1 species
AUGUCUGGAAGCACGGGAGAAUGUUCUUUUGCUGAUAUUAUUACCAGUAUUCGAUACUGGGUUAUUCAUAGCAUUACUAUACCUUCCCUAUUCAUUGUGGGUUGGUUAUUUGUCAGUACGGGUUUAGCUUAUGACGUGUUUGGAAGUCCUAGGCCAAACGAGUAUUUCACGGAAAGCCAACAAGGAAUUCCGUUAAUAACCGACCGUUUUGAUUCUUUAGAACAACUCGAUGAAUUUAGUAGAUCCUUUUAG